UGGAGAGUCAGAGCUACAGGAGGUUUUGCAGAGUCUUUCCUGACCAGGUUUCUGAAGCUGCCUGGAUGAUAUGAAGAAAAGAUAAACCCUCUGAAACAGCAGCCACCUUUUUUGAGUUGAGAUUGGAAUUUAAGGCAUUUUUUAGGGUACACAAAAGUGGGUUUCAGGCUGUCCUGGGGCCAUGCUCUGCCAGAGCUGUAGGUGUGCUUUUUCUUGCUCUGUGGCUGAAGCCCAUUGAUCAUGGCAGCUCCAGGCCCCCUUCCCUUCUGCCUUGUGCCCUGGGGAGCCUGUCCUGGCUGAGCAGGGCUUGCUGGCUGCUGGAGACUAUCCUGCCCAGCAGGUCAGGCUGGUGGCUGCAGCACUUUGGAGAUUUGUCCCUGUCCUCUGCCCACGGAGAGCCUGUUGUCAGGUUGUCCAACAAAACUGAGCACCAUUAAUUGUCAUUCUUGGAAUAAGCAACAACAUAAUUUAUCAAUGUGGCAAUAACAGUAAUGUUUGUAUUUCCCAGUCUUGAAACACUUGGAUUGGAGAUGACAGCAUUAUAAUUGAAAAUAAUGGUGAGACACUGGCCCCAGCUCCAGCUGGGCAGGGGAACCACGGGGCAGCAUCUCUGCAGAGCAUCCCCACUGCAGCCAAGAACCAAAUGAGAAUUUUGGACCCUUGCAGCCUGGAUUUGUGGCAGGAGCAGACAGGCAAGGGCUUUGAAGCCCAGAACAACCUUUCCAGAAGAGAC